UCCGCUGGGAGCGUUAACUUUGACACAUGGUCACGUGGUACACUGUGGAUGUUUGUGGGACGAUCUUAUGUGUAUUCCUUAUGGGUGAUUUGCAAAAACAAGAGAUUAUUUAAAAUAUUACUAUUAAUUUUGUACAAUUGUAUCAAUACAUCACAAGAAAUUCGCUAUAAAUACUAUAUAUGGUAGAAAAUGUCUGAUAUAAUACAUAAAUAUAAUUUCGAUAUACAAACUUAGGAAGAGAUUUUUAGGUUAACAGCCGAAAUGUGAGGUUACGGCUGUCAAGAAGGACUUCGUAAAUGUAAACAAAAGUUGCAAAGCCAGAAUUUGCCCAAUCUCAAAGCCUUUUUAAUUCCUAUAAAGUUGAAAUGUUGCUUCCUCUGCUUAAGUAUACUGUUUUUAACAUAAUACCACCAUAAUUCUGUCUUAAAUUUGUAUGAAAUAUAGUUUUUUAGUGAUAUUCACCAAGCAAAGUUUACAAACUUUUGUGAACCAUUCUAUUUUGUAUAAUAAAAAUGGUAAUGUGCUUUGCCCCGGAUUGUACACAAUAUUGUGAAAGAGGGAUAUGUAGAUUCUUUGUUGUUCUCAGGAUCUGGUUGAAAAGAAGACAUUGAUUUCAUUACUAAGGCACCCAGGAGAAGGGCAUGGCCCUAACCCUCAAAUAUGAGUAUUAUAGAAAAUUAACAGUUACCCAGGCAACCAUCCAAUGAGAAUCGUAGGAAAAUUAACAGUUCCACAGACAAUCAUCCAGUGACCACAUUGUCUCUUUUUGGACAUACCAUCUGACGCUUUCUGAAGAAGAUCUUGGGGUGUAAAUAACCCAGGACAGCACCGGAAGAAGCCGUCAGACCACAGGCUAAAUUCCUUAUUAAAAUCUAUAGCUUGCCUAUAAACAGAGACAGACUAUUUUUAUAUAAAAUAACUUCAUUAGUUCUAAAAUGUAGAUCUUGAAUUGUGACCAUAAUAAAAUGAGAAAAUAAAGUGUUUAUACUGAA